GAUGAACGCUGGCGGCGUGCUUAACACAUGCAAGUCGAACGGAAAGGCCCAAGCUUGCUUGGGUACUCGAGUGGCGAACGGGUGAGUAACACGUGGGUGACCUGCCCUGCACUUCGGGAUAAGCCUGGGAAACUGGGUCUAAUACUGGAUAGGACCACUUCUUGGAUGUUGUGGUGGAAAGUUUUUUCGGUGUGGGAUGAGCUCGCGGCCUAUCAGCUUGUUGGUGGGGUAAUGGCCUACCAAGGCGUCGACGGGUAGCCGGCCUGAGAGGGUGUACGGCCACAUUGGGGAUGGGAUACGGCCCAGACUCCUACGGGAGGCAGCAGUGGGGAAUAUUGCACAAUGGGCGCAAGCCUGAUGCAGCGACGCCGCGUGGGGGAUGACGGGCUUCGGGUUGGAAACUCCUUUCGCUAGGGACGAAGCGUUUUGUGACGGUACCUGGAGAAGAAGCACCGGCUAACUACGUG
rnacentral:rRNA from 1 species